rnacentral:tRNA from 1 species
GAGGCUGUGGCUUAGUGGUAGAGCAUCUGCUUGGCGUGUAGAAGGUCCUAAUCCCUGCCAGCUCCA